rnacentral:sRNA from 2 species
CAAUCGGAAAGUAUUUUUGUCCGUAACAGUCUCGGUAUAACAUUCAAGAAAUAGAGUUUGGUUUUUCUCUGACCCCCCAAAGCUUCUUUUCUGUCCCGCCUUGUUGUAUUUAUUGUUUCGUCUGCGUUGUGCCGAAUUCGUUGAGGACUGAUUGCCUUGGAGUUUUUAAAUCGUACUGAUUUUAAUUGGUCUAAAAAGAUGUACGGUGUCUGGUGUCAGUAGGAUGUAAGAGUUGAUCAAACCUAUGCUUUUUGUCUGUUUCAGAAUGAGACAAACUCUGGUGCUCUUGUCCUGAUAUUCCUGUCCCGUUGACGUGCGAUGGUGCUCCCCACUGGCAAGUUGACCACAUGUUUGUGGCUGGUUUUUGGCCAAUGGAAGAGAGCGGUUGGCGAUGCUGUGCCGUUGUCUUAGUUCUGUUGUAACCCAAGCAUGUCGACAUCCAGCUCUUCCGAAGAACAAUGUUAUUUGUGAUGAUUGUCGUG